AUUGAACGCUGGCGGCAUGCCUUACACAUGCAAGUCGAACGGCAGCACGGGUGCUUGCACCUGGUGGCGAGUGGCGAACGGGUGAGUAAUAUAUCGGAACGUACCUUAUUGUGGGGGAUAACGCAGCGAAAGCUGUGCUAAUACCGCAUAAUCCCUAAGGGGGAAAGCGGGGGACCGUAAGGCCUCGCGCAAUUAGAGCGGCCGAUACCUGAUUAGCUAGUUGGUGAGGUAAAGGCUCACCAAGGCAACGAUCAGUAGCUGGUCUGAGAGGACGAUCAGCCACCCUGAGACUGAGACACGGCCCAGACUCCUACGGGAGGCAGCAGUGGGGAAUUUUGGACAAUGGGGGCAACCCUGAUCCAGCAAUGCCGCGUGAGUGAAGAAGGCCUUCGGGUUGUAAAGCUCUUUUGUCAGGGAAGAAACAGCAGCUCUAACACAGUUUGCGAAUGACGGUACCUGAAGAAUAAGCACCGGCUAACUACGUGCCAGCCGCCGCGGUAA
rnacentral:rRNA from 1 species